rnacentral:rRNA from 1 species
UACGGGGGGAGCAAGCGUUGUUCGGAUUUACUGGGCGUAAAGGGCGCGUAGGCGGCCUCCGCAAGUCAGUUGUGAAAUCUCCGAGCUUAACUCGGAAAGGUCAACUGAUACUGCGGGGCUAGAGUGCGGAAGGGGCAACUGGAAUUCUUGGUGUAGCGGUGAAAUGCGUAGAUAUCAAGAGGAACACCGGUGGCGAAGGCGGGUCUCUGGGCCGAUACUGACGCUGAGGAGCGAAAGCGUGGGGAGCGAACAGG